rnacentral:rRNA from 1 species
UCACGCCAUAAGAUUAGCCCAAGUGGGAUUAGCUAGUUGGUGAGUAAUGGCUCACCAAGGCGACGAUCCCUAGCUGGUUUGAGAGGAUGAUCAGCCACACUGGGACUGAGACACGGCCCAGACUCCUACGGGAGCACCAGUGGGGAAUAUUGCACAAUGGGCGCAAGCCUGAUGCAGCCAUGCCGCGUGUGUGAAGAAGGCCUUCGGGUUGUAAAGCACUUUCAGUAAGGAGGAAAGGUUAAGUGUUAAUAGCACUUAGCUGUGACGUUACUUACAGAAGAAGCACCGGCUAACUCCGUGCCAGCAGCCGCGGUAAUACGGAGGGUGCGAGCGUUAAUCGGAAUUACUGGGCGUAAAGCGUACGCAGGCGGUUUGUUAAGCGAGAUGUGAAAGCCCCGGGCUCAACCUGGGAACUGCAUUUCGAACUGGCAAACUAGAGUGUGAUAGAGGGUGGUAGAAUUUCA